ensembl:lncRNA
GUUACCAGUACGUUGCUAUGCAGUUGCCUAGGCAUUCUAAUUGUGUUGCUGUUGUAGAUGGUUGUUGGGAUGUUGUAGGUGGUUACCAGUACGUUGCUAUGCAGUUGCUAAGGCGUUCUGAGUGUUGCUGUUGUAGAUGGUUGUUGGAAUGUUGUAGGUGGUUGCCAGGGCGUUGCUAUGCAGUUGCUAAGGCGUUCUGAGUGUUGCUGUUGUAGAUGGUUGUUGGGAUGUUCUAGGUGGUUACCAGGGCUUUGCUAUGCUGUUGCUAAGGCGUUCUGAGUAUUGCUGUUGUAGAUGGUUGUUGGGAUGUUCUAGGUGGUUACCAGGGCUUUGCUAUGCUGUUGCUAAGGCGUUCUGAGUAUUGCUGUUGUAGAUGGUUGUUGGGAUGUUCUAGGUGGUUACCAGGGCUUUGCUAUGCUGUUGCUAAGGCGUUCUGAGUAUUGCUGUUGUAGAUGGUUGUUGGGAUGUUCUAGCUGGUUACCAGGGCGUUUGGUGUUCUGUGUAUAUCCCUUUAGUCUGGCACAAAUCUGGUCUUUAGAUAUGAUAUUUAACAUGCAUGUUCCAUUUUUACAAUGCAGUUUGCCAUAUUUAAUGUGGCUGAAUUGGUUUCAUUUGCCGCAAGUUUUUUUUAUUUUUUUUAUUAUUGUCAUUUUGCUGCAGUAUGGAGAUGUUGAAAGCGCCUGUGAAGUGUCAGGACCCCCGUCGGCCCUCAUUGACGUUCUCUGAAGGGGGUCUGACUCACGUCUGUCAUUCGUAGAUGCUGACAUUUCCACUGGCUGUGUGUCAUGACAGUUUUACUGAAGACUAUUCAUGCCAUGAAUUAUUCAUAAAAACAUCACUGUACGGCAGGCAUGAUUCUGAGGGAUUGGGCAAAUUGAAAUCCUGCUGGCAAAGGUGAAUUAUACAUUAGC